AUUGAACGCUGGCGGCAGGCCUAACACGUGCAAGUCGAGCGGAUGAAGGGAGCUUGCUCCUGGAUUCAGCGGCGGACGGAUGAGUAAUGCCUAGGAAUCUGCCUGGUAGUGGGGGAUAACGUCCGGAAACGGGCGCUAAUACCGCAUACGUCCUGAGGGAGAAAGUGGGGGAUCUUCGGACCUCACGCUAUCAGAUGAGCCUAGGUCGGAUUAGCUAGUUGGUGGGGUAAAGGCCUACCAAGGCGACGAUCCGUAACUGGUCUGAGAGGAUGAUCAGUCACACUGGAACUGAGACACGGUCCAGACUCCUACGGGAGGCAGCAGUGGGGAAUAUUGGACAAUGGGCGAAAGCCUGAUCCAGCCAUGCCGCGUGUGUGAAGAAGGUCUUCGGAUUGUAAAGCACUUUAAGUUGGGAGGAAGGGCAGUAAGUUAAUACCUUGCUGUUUUGACGUUACCAACAGAAUAAGCACCGGCUAACUUCGUG
rnacentral:rRNA from 1 species